AGUCCUGUGACGCAGUGGCUAGCGUGUCGUUCUUAUACUCUUCCCAUUCUUGGGAAUUGUAUGGCCAUUGAGGUUAUGCGAAAGUCGCGGGUUCGACCCCCGCCAGGACUA
rnacentral:tRNA from 1 species